UACGUAGGGCGCAAGCGUUGUCCGGAAUUAUUGGGCGUAAAGAGCUCGUAGGUGGCUUGUCGCGUCUGCCGUGAAAGCCCAUGGCUUAACUGUGGGUCUGCGGUGGAUACGGGCUGGCUAGAGGUAGGUAGGGGCAAGCGGAAUUCCUAGUGUAGCGGUGAAAUGCGCAGAUAUUAGGAGGAACACCGGUGGCGAAGGCGCCACUCUGGGCCGAAACUGACGCUGAGGAGCGAAAGCGUGGGUAGCAAACAGG
rnacentral:rRNA from 1 species